rnacentral:rRNA from 1 species
UGGGGAAUAUUGGACAAUGGGCGAAAGCCUGAUCCAGCCAUGCCGCGUGUGUGAAGAAGGUCUUCGGAUUGUAAAGCACUUUAAGUUGGGAGGAAGGGUAGUAACUUAAUACGUUGCUAUUUUGACGUUACCGACAGAAUAAGCACCGGCUAACUUCGUGCCAGCAGCCGCGGUAAUACGAAGGGUGCAAGCGUUAAUCGGAUUCACUGGGUUUAAAGGGAGCGUAGGCGGGCAUGUAAGUCCGUGGUGAAAGCCUCAGCUCAACUGAGGAACUGCCAUGGAUACUAUAUGUCUUGAAUGUCGUUGAGGUUUGCGGAAUGGGUCAUGUAGCGGUGAAAUGCUUAGAUAUGACCCGGAACACCAAUUGCGAAGGCAGCAGGCUAAACGAAUAUUGACGCUGAGGCUCGAAAGCGUGGGGAUCAAACAGGAUUAGAUACCCUGGUAGUCCACGCCCUAAACGAUGAUUACUCGACAUACGUGAU